ACUCCUACGGGAGGCAGCAGUGGGGAAUUUUGGACAAUGGGCGCAAGCCUGAUCCAGCCAUGCCGCGUGCGGGAAGAAGGCCUUCGGGUUGUAAACCGCUUUUGUCAGGGAAGAAAAGGUUCUGGCUAAUACCUGGGACUCAUGACGGUACCUGAAGAAUAAGCACCGGCUAACUACGUGCCAGCAGCCGCGGUAAUACGUAGGGUGCAAGCGUUAAUCGGAAUUACUGGGCGUAAAGCGUGCGCAGGCGGUUAUGCAAGACAGAGGUGAAAUCCCCGGGCUCAACCUGGGAACUGCCUUUGUGACUGCAUGGCUAGAGUACGGUAGAGGGGGAUGGAAUUCCGCGUGUAGCAGUGAAAUGCGUAGAUAUGCGGAGGAACACCGAUGGCGAAGGCAAUCCCCUGGACCUGUACUGACGCUCAUGCACGAAAGCGUGGGGAGCAAACAGGAUUAGAAACCCUGGUAGUCC
rnacentral:rRNA from 1 species